rnacentral:rRNA from 1 species
CCGAAAGGUGUAUCCGAUGGACAACAGGUUGAUAUUCCUGUACUAGAGUAUGUAGUGAUGGAGGGACGCAGUAGGCUAACUAAAGCAGACGAAUGGAAGAGUCUGUCUAAGCAGUGAGGUGUGAUAUGAGUCAAAUGCUUAUAUCUGUAACAUUGAGCUGUGAUGGGGAGCGAAGUUUAGUAGCGAAGUUAGUGACGUCACACUGCCAAGAAAAGCUUCUAGCGUUUAAACAUACUCUACCCGUACCGCAAACCGACACAGGUAGUCGAGGCGAGUAGCCUCAGGUGAGCGAGAGAACUCUCGUUAAGGAACUCGGCAAAAU